AAAGAAACCAUUAUCGUCUAAUGCAGAUGUAGCAGAGAGGCAGACUGCAGCCUCUCCAAAAAGUAGGUCAGCUCCUCCCCUUUCCCAACCCCUCUAAAUUGGCAGCCUACGUAAGACACCUGUGGCAUGAAGGCUGCCCUUUCUCUUUGUCUGUGCAUGGUGGCUGCCACAUGGUCAUGUCUCUGAGUUUGCUGUCUGUUGUGUACUGAUGGCCUGGUCGCCG